rnacentral:rRNA from 1 species
UACGUAGGUGGCAAGCGUUGUCCGGAUUUAUUGGGCGUAAAGCGCGCGUAGGCGGCAAGAUUAGUCUGAUGUGAAAGCCCCCGGCUCAACAGGGGAGGGUCAUUGGAAACUGUCUUGCUUGAGUGCAGAAGAGGAGAGUGGAAUUCCAUGUGUAGCGGUGAAAUGCGCAGAGAUAUGGAGGAACACCAGUGGCGAAGGCGGCUCUCUGGUCUGCAACCGACGCUGAUGUGCGAAAGCGUGGGGAUCAAACAGG